rnacentral:rRNA from 1 species
AGUUUGAUCCUGGCUCAGAAUCAACGCUGGCGGCGUGCCUCAGACAUGCAAGUCGAACGCGAAAGUUCCCUUCGGGGAGCAAGUAGAGUGGCGCACGGGUGAGUAACACGUAGGUAAUCUACCUUUGGAUGGGGAAUAACAACCGGAAACGGUUGCUAAUACCGCAUAAUGCAGCGGCACCUAAUGGUGACAGUUGUUAAAGCGGGGGAUCGCAAGACCUCGCGUCUGAAGAGGAGCCUGCGGCGGAUUAGCUAGUUGGUAAGGUAACGGCUUACCAAGGCGAUGAUCCGUAGCCGGCCUGAGAGGGCGGUCGGCCACACUGACACUGACAUACGGGUCAGACUCCUACGGGAGGCAGCAGUCGGGAAUUUUGGGCAAUGGGCGAAAGCCUGACCCAGCAACGCCGCGUGAAGGAUGAAAUCCCUCGGGAUGUAAACUUCGCAAGAACGGGAAGAAUAAGUAGGGGACAAUACCCCCUAUGAUGACGGUACUGUUUGUAAGCUCCGGCUAACUCCGUGCCAGCAGCCGCGGUAAUACGGGGGGAGCAAGCGUUGUUCGGAUUUACUGGGCGUAAAGGGCGCGUAGGCGGCCACCGCAAGUCGACUGUGAAAUCUCCGGGCUUAACUCGGAAAGGUCAGCCGAUACUGCGGGGCUAGAGUGCAGAAGGGGCAACUGGAAUUCUCGGUGUAGCGGUGAAAUGCGUAGAUAUCGAGAGGAACACCUGCGGCGAAGGCGGGUUGCUGGGCUGACACUGACGCUGAAGUGCGAAAGCUAGGGGAGCGAACGGGAUUAGAUACCCCGGUAGUCCUAGCCUUAAACGA